CAGUCGCCGCGGGAAUACAGAGGGUGCGAGCGUUAAUUGGAUUUACUGGGCGUAAAGCGUGCGUAGGCGGCUUUUUAAGUCGGAUGUGAAAUCCCUGAGCUUAACUUAGGAAUUGCAUUCGAUACUGGGAAGCUAGAGUAUGGGAGAGGAUGGUAGAAUUCCAGGUGUAGCGGUGAAAUGCGUAGAGAUCUGGAGGAAUACCGAUGGCGAAGGCAGCCAUCUGGCCUAAUACUGACGCUGAGGUACGAAAGCAUGGGGAGCAAACAGGAUUAGAUACCCGCGUAGUCCCUGUCUCUUAUAC
rnacentral:rRNA from 1 species